GUUGUUAGCUGUGCAACAUCAGGUCCUAAGAUCACAGAAACACUUCCAAGAACAAUAGCUGAGGUACAGAGGAGGCCUUUUGGGCUAGCAGAUGUGCCGGUCCCAUCCGGGAGGAUGACAGCCCGAACUAGAAAGGCUGAGGGCCUACAGCGGUGACUCUGCAGGAGGCGGGGUUGGGCAGCCUGUGAGUUAUCCCAGCCCUGCCAUCAGCCGGCCCGUAACCCUGGACACGUGGCUGCCCUCGCUGGGCCUCCGUGUCCUCAUCUGUACAGCGGGUGCUGAUGAGUCAUCUCUAAAGGCAUCUAGACGGAGCCUCCAUGAGAAACUCCAGCCCCCAGGGCCCUAGUUUGUCUUCCUCCACCCACUCUGUCCUCAUUCAGGCUAUUCUAACAAAGUGCCAUAGACUGGGUGGCUUAUAAACAACAGAAAUUAAUUAUUUAUAGUUCUGGAGGCUGGGAAGUCCAAGACCAAGGUGCCCAAAACUUCUGUGUCUGGUGAAGGCAGCCUUCCCAGUUCAUGGACGGCUGUUCUUUCCCCCAAUGUCCUCACAUGGUGGAAGGGGCUGGGGAGCUCUCUGAGGUCUCUUCUAGAAGGGCACUAAUCCCAUGUCUGAGGGCUCCAUUUUCAUGACAAAAUCACCUCCCAAAGGCCCCACCUCCUAAUAUCAUCACAUUGUGGGUAAGGAUUUCAACAUAUGAAUUUUGGGGAGAUAAUGAUUCAGUCUGUUGCACCCCUCAAUAGUCUAAAAGGGCUGAGGUUAAAACUGCAAAUGGGCAAGACAAGGCUCUGAUCUCCCCCUGACUGUUCCCCAACCCUCUAGGCUCCCGGGGAAGGUGGUAAACUGGCCCAGUGUCUAGCCAGAAAGGACCUCCCGCCUGAGCACCCCGCAGCUGGGCCCCAGCAGAACCUACAAAUGGUGGAGAAGGCUGAUUCCAGUGCUGGACUCCUCAGCAAGGGCAGGGGAUGCGACCAGGUGAGUGCCAGCCCCAAGCUCCACCACCUAGCAGGAAUCUGAGAGGAGGGAAGAGUCUCCAGCUCUUUUACUUUCACAUUACUGACGACACCCAACAAACCUACCGCACCACCCCACCAGCAUGACACUGGGGGCAGAUGUGCUCCCCUAAGCUUCUCAGCACCAGGGAAGGAAGUGCCUGGGGCUGUCUGCAGCACCCCAAGAAUGCUGAGCUCAGGUGCUUGGAGGCAGGGUGGCCAGGAUGAGGGGCUGUGAGCCAGGAGUCUGGGCACCAGCCCGGCUCUGUGAAGAACCACUGGGCGACCGUGAGAGAGUCCCUGUUCUCUGGCCUCACUUUCUUAACUGAAAACUGGAGGAGCUAGAUGAGAUGGUUUCUAUGUUCCCAUUGAGCUGUGACAUUCUAUUGUUCUACUAAAUGGGAAUGACAACCAGAUCUAAGUAGCUAGAACUAAUUCAACCAAUAUUUUAGGUGCCUUCAAGGUGUAAACCUCUUACUUACAAAAAAAAAAAGAAAAUCCUAUAUUUUUUCUGAAUGGCUGGGGAGACUACAGGCAUAGGAAGAAGUGGAGGCGCCCUCCCACCCAUCAUGGUGGACAAGUGCCCCACCCCAGCACAAGGGGCUUUCCGAAGCCUGCCAUCGGCACCCGCCCCCCAGGGCCUCCCGAGCAAGCCCCGCUUCCCAGCGGCUGACGGCAUUCGAUUGGGAUUAACCUGCGUCAGUCUUCCCUGUUCUGACCGAUGAGGCUCUGGAGCUUUUGGGAGAGCGCGGAGGCACGGCUGCCUGACUCGUUCACACCAGUGACGUGACCGAGCUCUCCCCGCAACGUCUCUGGAGGCAGGAGACGAGUGAGUCCCGAGGGCGGGAGGCCUGCGUCUGAAGGAGCUCGUCGGCUGAAUUAUUAAUGGGACUCUGAACACUGCUCAAGUUUCCCCUGACAGAUGCUUUUCCGAGCUGAUGAUUCUGAGACCAAUUAAGAAUGAUUGUGGAUUCCGAGGCUGUGCCACCACCGGUGAGUGUCUUAAAAUGUCUCCAGAACCCACUGCAGGGAAUUCACAGCCGGCUCUCACACAGGCCUGGUCAUCACUAAGGAAGGAGGGGCGCCAGACGCUACAGAGUCUGGGGCCACUGCCCCACGCCAACUCUGCCCCCAGCCCAGGGCAUCACCAGACCUGCUUACAGCAUGCAGAGCAGAGGGCCUUCAAGGGUCUAUGGCCCAGCAGGCUCUGUAGGGUCUCAGAGCCUCAGGAAAAUAAGUGCCAUGUGAAUAGAGGGAUCUGGGUCAAAAGGUUUAAAAAGGUUAAUAUUCAACAAAGCGAAACAGGAUCGUGUACUUCAGGACUUCUCAGAGCCUUUAUCAUGCUCCCUGAAUCUAGAAGAGGAGGAAAAAUUAUACAUAUGCAUCUCCUGAAUAUAAAAAUAUACAUAUGUAUCUCCCUGAAUCUAGAAGAGGGGGGAAAAUAUACAUAUGUAUCUCCUCUAUCCCCAGAGUUUCCUAAAUUUACUUGAUCAGGAAAUCCUUUUCUCUAGGGCAUGUUCUGGGAUUAGUGUUCCAUGGAAUUCACCUUGAGAAUUCUAUGUUGCUGUCCCUCAUUUCACAGAUGAAGAGACAGAGAGUCAGAGCAGUCACACGGUAAGCCAGAUCCCAGGUAGAGUCCCUCAUGCUAAAUGGUAAUGUUAGGUGCUUACCAGCUGCUUGGAGAAAAUUCCACAGUCUUCUCCAGGACUGACACGCUUCUGGGAAAACUAUGGGUAUGAAUCCAAGCCCCAGGACUCACCUGGAAGGGGAAUGGCUUGCAAGACUUUUCCCCCCUGAUAAUCAUUUGCUUAAUAUUCCCAUGGCUCCCCUGCUAAAUUGUGAGUUCCACUGGGGCAAGAACCAUGUCUGGUGAGCUCAUGAAUGCAUCCCCAGGCUGGCACAGUGCCCGGCGAGCAGACAGUGCUCAGGAAAUGGUUGCUGACUGACUGAUGGACUCAUGAGCACAUGCCUUAAUAUCUACUUCCAAGACACCUUGAAAAUGAGCCCUCUUGUUUCCAGAUGCAAGAGCCCCAUGAAGCUAUGGAUGCCAAGCCACUGCUCAGUGUAAGAGGCUGCCCUUGCUGCCAGGACAUGGUCAGCCGGGCUCCAGGAACCAUGACUCCCACUAAAGCCAAGCAGAGUACGGAAAGGGGCUGGCUCCAGAAAGGCUGGAGUCUGGGCCAGCAUUUGAACCAUUUUUAAUGGAUGCAAGACACAUCUGUAUUUUCUAUCAGUGAUGCAGGCUGUGCAAGGUGGCCAUGGGCCACCUGACAUACUGAGGGGAAAACAGCAGUAUGAAUAACUUCCGCUAAGCUAACCCAAAUUACUUAUUCAUUCAUUACACAUUUACAGAAUGGUUACAAGGAAAGAGAAAAAAUGAAAGGCUUGAUCCACACGCUCAAGAGACUAAUAGAACAAGAGAAAGGAGGUUUGUAGAAGUGACCACAGAACACUGAAGACACUGACAUCAAAGACACCUGAGCUAAGCACAUCCCCAAGAGCAGAAGGGCCUGGCUCUGACAGAGAGCUGCACUGAUAUUAAAUCGGGGGCCUGGAGAUGCUGCUGCUGCCCUCUAAUCCUCCCCAACCUUUGACCACAACAGUCCUAAAAAGGCUAGGUGGGAAAGCCUGGGGCCUGGGCUCAUCCAUGCCCAUCUCCUUCUGUUAGGGGGCUUGGGAGUUAGGAAAGCAGUGGGCAGACCCUCCUUGGGACGGGCCAUCAACCAGGAGGGGCGUCCUAACCAGGCCUGUCCACGGGAAGGUGUAGGAGGAAGCUCUGGGUCAGGAAAUGAGCUCAAAAGCCUGGCAGGGGUCGGGGGGUUGGGGCAAUGAGGAAGGGCCCAGGGUGAGCAGCAGAGGGCUGGGACAGCUACCCUCCUCUGAUUCUAAACUCUCCAGGUGCGGGUGACACCUGGCUAGCAUCCAAGCUCCAUCACUCCCCAGGUAGCACCUGCUGGCCUCAGGCUUCCAAAUGCAAAUUUUCCCAAUGGAGUGAAGAAUUCAUGUUGAUUUUCAACUGAAAUGAUGCCUAAAGUAAGUUGAAAUGUCCGUGAUCAGAACCUGUGGCCAGCAGAUGGGAUCGGCCCCACGGCCCUGUUGUGCAGAUCUGGUAGUGGGGCCGGCAGAGCCCGUGUGAGGACAGCCCUAGGAAGCCACAGCAGCUUCUACCCACACCUGCCCCACAACAGCUGGGCACCCUGACCGACGACAGUGUCCGCUGGCAGGGGAGGUGAGGGCAGGGAGCAGUUCUGGUGGAUAGCAGAGGAGGCCGCCCAAUCUAUGAGAUGUUUCAUCAGUCCUUGUCACAAAACAGACCCAGCUCCUAAACAGUGAUGCUGAAAAUAGGAGAGUUGCUUCCCUGCUUGGAAGGAUGUCUGCAGAGGGAAAUAUCAGUAGAAAGGUGGGGGCUGCUGUUUCUUGAAGGUUUUAACGCAAACAUUGGAGUCCCCUGGGCUAAACUAAGGGUGGCCUUUAAUAUGCAUAUGAACAUUGAGCACCCCUGAGUGGAGAGACCUGGAAGAAAACAGGGUCUGCCCAGGCAACCAGGGGCUGGGUGGGCAAGGGACACCAUGAAGUUGGUUUACAAGAACUGAAUACAGUUUCUUAGCCAAGGCAGACACUAGGAUGAGCACAAAGAAGGG